UGAAAGGAACUCGGCAAAAUGCCCCCGUAACUUCGGGAGAAGGGGGGCCAUCACCGGUGAUCCGUUUUACACGGUGAGCUGGGGGUGGCCGCAGAGACCAGCGAGAAGCGACUGUUUACUAAAAACACAGGUCCGUGCGAAGCCGUAAGGCGAUGUAUACGGACUGACGCCUGCCCGGUGCUGGAACGUUAAGGGGACCGGUUAGUCACUCUUCGGGGUGGCGAAGCUGAGAACUUAAGCGCCAGUAAACGGCGGUGGUAACUAUAACCAUCCUAAGGUAGCGAAAUUCCUUGUCGGGUAAGUUCCGACCUGCACGAAUGGCGUAACGACUUCUCGACUGUCUCAACCAUAGGCCCGGUGAAAUUGCACUACGAGUAAAGAUGCUCGUUUCGCGCAGCAGGACGGAAAGACCCCGGGACCUUGACUACAGUUUGAUAUUGGUGUUCGGUACGGCUUGUGUAGGAUAGCUGGGAGACUGUGAACUCUGGACGCCAGUUCAGGGGGAGUCGUCGUUGAAAUACCAGUCUGGUCGUGCUGGAUGUCUAACCUGGGUCCGUGAUCCGGAUCAGGGACAGUGUCUGAUGGGUAGUUUAACUGGGGCGGUUGCCUCCUAAAGAGUAACGGAGGCGCCCAAAGGUUCCCUCAGCCUGGUUGGCAAUCAGGUGUUGAGUGUAAGUGCACAAGGGAGCUUGACUGUGAGACCGACGGGUCGAGCAGGGACGAAAGCCGGGACUAGUGAUCCGGCGGUGGCUUGUGGAAGCGCCGUCGCUCAACGGAUAAAAGGUACCCCGGGGAUAACAGGCUGAUCUUCCCCAAGAGUCCAUAUCGACGGGAUGGUUUGGCACCUCGAUGUCGGCUCGUCGCAUCCUGGGGCUGGAGUCGGUCCCAAGGGUUGGGCUGUUCGCCCAUUAAAGCGGUACGCGAGCUGGGUUUAGAACGUCGUGAGACAGUUCGGUCCCUAUCCGCUGCGCGCGCAGGAACAUUGAGAAGGGCUGUCCCUAGUACGAGAGGACCGGGACGGACGAACCUCUGGUGUGCCAGUUGUUCUGCCAAGGGCAUGGCUGGUUGGCUACGUUCGGGAGGGAUAACCGCUGAAAGCAUCUAAGCGGGAAGCCUGCUUCGAGAUGAGUGUUCCCACCCCCUUGAGGGGUUAAGGCUCCCAGUAGACGACUGGGUUGAUAGGCCGGAUCUGGAAGGCGGGUAACCGCUGGAGGUGACCGGUACUAACAGGCCGAGGGCUUGUCCC
rnacentral:rRNA from 1 species